CCUACGGGUGGCAGCAGUGAGGAAUAUUGGUCAAUGGGCGCGAGCCUGAACCAGCCAAGUCGCGUGAGGGAAGACGGUCCUCUGGAUUGUAAACCUUUUUUGUCGGGGAGCAAAAGACGCCACGCGUGGCGUUCCGAGAGUACCCGAAGAACAAGCAUCGGCUAACUCCGUGCCAGCAGCCGCGGUAGUAAGGAGGAUGCGAGGGUUAUCCGGAUUUAUUGGGUUAAAGGGGUGCGCAGGCGGAAGAUCAAGGCAGCGGUAAAAUUUAGGGGCUCAACCUCUUCGAGCCGUUGAAACUGGUUUUCUUGAGUGAGCGAGAAGUAUGCGGAAUGCGUGGUGUAGCGGUGAAAUGCAUAGAUAUCACGCAGAACUCCGAUUGCGAAGGCAGCAUACCGGCGCUCAACUGACGCUCAUGCACGAAAGUGUGGGUAUCGAACAGGAUUAGAUACCCUAGUAGUC
rnacentral:rRNA from 1 species